CUCUGAGACAGGUGCUGCAUGGCUGUCGUCAGCUCGUGUUGUGAAAUGUUGGGUUAAGUCCCGCAACGAGCGCAACCCUUAUCCUUUGUUGCCAGCGCUUAAUGGUGGGAACUCUAGGAAGACUGCCGUUGAUAAACCGGAGAAAGGUGGGGACAACUUCAAGUCUUCAUGGCCCUUACAAUUAGGGUUACACACUUGCUACAUUGGCUAGUACAAAGGGUUGCAAAUCCGCGAGGUGGAGCUAAUCUCACAAAGCUCGUCUUAUUCCGGAUUGAAGUCUGCAACUCGCCUCCUUGAAGUCGGAAUCGCUAGUAAUCUCGAAUCAAAAUGCUCCGGUGAAUACUUUCCC
rnacentral:rRNA from 1 species